UUACUUACAUUCGUUGCCUCGGCGGGUGCUCUAGUCUUCGUGUCUAGGGCAUUCAGCCCGUCGGUGGCCCACAACUCUGUCUCGCGCGUUGGCAUCUCCGAGUUAUUUUAAACGAGUCAAAACUUUCAACAACGGAUCUCUUGGUUCUGGCAUCGAUGAAGAACGCAGCGAAAUGCGAUAAGUAAUGUGAAUUGCAGAAUUCAGUGAAUCAUCGAAUCUUUGAACGCACAUUGCGCCCGCCAGUAUCCUGGCGGGCAUGCCUGUUCGAGCGUCAUUUCAACCCUCAGGCUCUGCCUGGCGUUGGGGUCCUGCGAUGCAGCCCCCUAAAGACAGCGGCGAGCACGCCCCGAAGCUGAACGUAGUACUACAUCUCGUUCCGGUGCAGGGCGCCCUCGGCCGGAAAACACUUC
rnacentral:rRNA from 1 species